rnacentral:rRNA from 1 species
UUGUGCCCUUGAGGCGUGGCUUCCGGAGCUAACGCGUUAAGUCGACCGCCUGGGGAGUACGGCCGCAAGGUUAAAACUCAAAUGAAUUGACGGGGGCCCGCACAAGCGGUGGAGCAUGUGGUUUAAUUCGAUGCAACGCGAAGAACCUUACCUACUCUUGACAUCCAGAGAAUUCGCUAGAGAUAGCUUAGUGCCUUCGGGAACUCUGAGACAGGUGCUGCAUGGCUGUCGUCAGCUCGUGUUGUGAAAUGUUGGGUUAAGUCCCGCAACGAGCGCAACCCUUAUCCUUUGUUGCCAGCGAGUAAUGUCGGGAACUCAAAGGAGACUGCCGGUGAUAAACCGGAGGAAGGUGGGGAUGACGUCAAGUCAUCAUGGCCCUUACGAGUAGGGCUACACACGUGCUACAAUGGCAUAUACAAAGAGAAGCGAACUCGCGAGAGCAAGCGGACCUCAUAAAGUAUGUCGUAGUCCGGAUUGGAGUCUGCAACUCGACUCCAUGAAGUCGGAAUCGCUAGUAAUCGUAGAUCAGAAUGCUACGGUGAAUACGUUCCCGGGCCUUGUACACACCGCCCGUCACACCAUGGGAGUGGGUUGCAAAAGAAGUAGGUAGCUUAACCUUCGGGAGGGCGCUUACCAC